UUCCUCUGUAGCUCAGUCGGUAGAGCGGGUGGCUGUUAACCACUAGGUCGGCGGUUCGAGCCCGUCCGGAGGAGA
rnacentral:tRNA from 1 species